CCACAUUCUCAUUCCAUCCCUGGGAUCCGAAAUCUCCGAGAUGAUUUUUUUUUUUAAUUUGUAUACAUCAAGGUUCAUGCUUUAAUAAUAAUGUUUUAAAUUAUUUAACAUCUAGCAAAACUAAUAAACUAUGGCCUACCUUGUGUCAGGCCCCAUAACAAUGUCAUUCUGUGGGAUUUUACCUUGUAGUUUUCUUGGAACAGUCUUGGUAUGUCCCUACUUAAUUAAGCCAUAGGCAUCCCAGUUUCAGAAGCACGGACUACAGAAACUGACUUGUGAUAUUUAUGGCCCUAUCUCUAAAAUCCUGGAAUUCUUUAGAUUUAUGUAACCAUAUCUCUCUUAAUGAUUCCAGAAUCUGCAAAACAUGAUCUAUUUGGAGAACUGCAUUUGCAUAAGGUUAGAACUGUUUUUUUUUUUUUUUUUUUUUCUUCCUUACUGCUCUUUUGCUCUUAGUAAAAUAAAAGUAAACUGCAGGGGAGAAUAAUAACUACCAUAGUCAAUCCUAUCUUUUGUCUAGAACAAAUGCCAUCAUCACAACUUAAAUACAAACCCCUUUGUCAAUCAGGGUUUGCUUAAAACAACAAUUAAGUUGCUCUACACUGAUCCUAUAGGAGCUUUGGCACUGGUGUCAUAUGAAUAUGGAAAGUUCCAUUGGACAGAGAAUGACUGGGCAGUGUGGACUGCUGAGGAGAGAGAGCUGACCCAACAGACACUUGAUCUGACUGGAGCAAGUCCUGUAGAGCCUGCACUGGAGAGACCUUGGCAAUCACCCAGCCACUACCCUGGCUGCACCUAGACGCACCUGGGAGCUUAAAAGAAAAUAAUCGUGUCUGGGUUCCAUCCUUAAAGGUUUAAUUCAAGUUGUCUGGGGUAAGGCCCUUUAUCAUUAUUAAAAACAAGAAAAUCAAAUGAGGCUACUAUGUGGCCAGAGUGGAAGAUCCCUGACUUAGUUCAAGCUUUUCAUUUCAUAGAUAAAAAACUGGGGCUCCUGAAGUCAAUGUCGGGUGCCCUGAUUUUUCACAGUUGAGGAGUCAUGGUUCUCCUGCCCUCCUACGUCAGUGCUGGCUCUGCCAGCCUAGAGGCAUUUCAGCACGAGCACCUUCUUGGGGACUCCUGAGCCUUCCUAUGAAGAGGUGACUGAGUACUUACUCCCUAACAUGUCCGUCUGGGGCUUAGCACCCUCUAGAGAGGUUCCUUCCAGCCUGCUGAAUAUUUUAUAAGCAUCUGAAGAGAUUCAACACAGUAAAUAACUCCUGUGCAGGAACAUAUUGGACGUCCC
rnacentral:lncRNA from 1 species